AUUGAACGCUGGCGGCAUGCCUUACACAUGCAAGUCGAACGGCAGCACGGGGGCAACCCUGGUGGCGAGUGGCGAACGGGUGAGUAAUACAUCGGAACGUGUCCUAUCGUGGGGGAUAGCUCGGCGAAAGCCGGAUUAAUACCGCAUGUGAUCGAGAGAUGAAAGCAGGGGACCGCAAGGCCUUGCGCGAUUGGAGCGGCCGAUGUCGGAUUAGCUUGUUGGCGGGGUAAAGCCCACCAAGGCGACGAUCCGUAGCUGGUUUGAGAGAACGACCAGCCACACUGGGACUGAGACACGGCCCAGACUCCUACGGAGGCAGCAGUGGGGAAUUUUGGACAAUGGGGGCAACCCUGAUCCAGCCAUGCCGCGUGUGUGAAGAAGGCC
rnacentral:rRNA from 1 species